rnacentral:rRNA from 1 species
AGAACGAACGCUGGCGGCAUGCCUAACACAUGCAAGUCGAACGAGACCUUCGGGUCUAGUGGCGCACGGGUGCGUAACGCGUGGGAAUCUGCCCUUGGGUUCGGGAUAACAGUUGGAAACGACUGCUAAUACCGGAUGAUGUCUUCGGACCAAAGAUUUAUCGCCCAAGGAUGAGCCCGCGUAGGAUUAGCUUGUUGGUGAGGUAAGAGCUCACCAAGGCGACGAUCCUUAGCUGGUCUGAGAGGAUGAUCAGCCACACUGGGACUGAGACACGGCCCAGACUCCUACGGGAGGCAGCAGUGGGGAAUAUUGGACAAUGGGCGAAAGCCUGAUCCAGCAAUGCCGCGUGAGUGAUGAAGGCCUUAGGGUUGUAAAGCUCUUUUACCCGGGAUGAUAAUGACAGUACCGGAGAAUAAGGCCCCGGACUAACUCCGUGCCAGCAGCCGC